AGAUUAAGUUAUUAAGGGCGCACGGUGGAUGCCUUGGCACUAGAAGCCGAUGAAGGACGUUACUAACGACGAUAUGCUUUGGGGAGCUGUAAGUAAGCUUUGAUCCAGAGAUUUCCGAAUGGGGAAACCCAGCAUGAGUUAUGUCAUGUUAUCGAUAUGUGAAUACAUAGCAUAUCAGAAGGCACACCCGGAGAACUGAAACAUCUUAGUACCCGGAGGAAGAGAAAGAAAAUUCGAUUCCCUUAGUAGCGGCGAGCGAAAUGGGAAGAGCCCAAACCAACAAGCUUGCUUGUUGGGGUUGUAGGACACUCUAUACGGAGUUACAAAGGACGACAUUAGACGAAUCAUCUGGAAAGAUGAAUCAAAGAAGGUAAUAAUCCUGUAGUCGAAAAUGUUGUCUCUCUUGAGUGGAUCCUGAGUACGACGGAGCACGUGAAAUUCCGUCGGAAUCUGGGAGGACCAUCUCCUAAGGCUAAAUACUCUCUAGUGACCGAUAGUGAACCAGUACCGUGAGGGAAAGGUGAAAAGCACCCCGGAAGGGGAGUGAAAUAGAACCUGAAACCGUGUGCUUACAAGUAGUCAGAGCCCGUUAAUGGGUGAUGGCGUGCCUUUUGUAGAAUGAACCGGCGAGUUACGAUUUGAUGCAAGGUUAAGCAGUAAAUGUGGAGCCGUAGCGAAAGCGAGUCUGAAUAGGGCGUUUAGUAUUUGGUCGUAGACCCGAAACCAGGUGAUCUACCCUUGGUCAGGUUGAAGUUCAGGUAACACUGAAUGGAGGACCGAACCGACUUACGUUGAAAAGUGAGCGGAUGAACUGAGGGUAGCGGAGAAAUUCCAAUCGAACCUGGAGAUAGCUGGUUCUCUCCGAAAUAGCUUUAGGGCUAGCCUCAAGUGAUGAUUAUUGGAGGUAGAGCACUGUUUGGACGAGGGGCCCCUCUCGGGUUACCGAAUUCAGACAAACUCCGAAUGCCAAUUAAUUUAACUUGGGAGUCAGAACAUGGGUGAUAAGGUCCGUGUUCGAAAGGGAAACAGCCCAGACCACCAGCUAAGGUCCCAAAAUAUAUGUUAAGUGGAAAAGGAUGUGGCGUUGCCCAGACAACUAGGAUGUUGGCUUAGAAGCAGCCAUCAUUUAAAGAGUGCGUAAUAGCUCACUAGUCGAGUGACACUGCGCCGAAAAUGUACCGGGGCUAAACAUAUUACCGAAGCUGUGGAUUGUCCUUUGGACAAUGGUAGGAGAGCGUUCUAAGGGCGUUGAAGCAUGAUCGUAAGGACAUGUGGAGCGCUUAGAAGUGAGAAUGCCGGUGUGAGUCGCGAAAGACGGGUGAGAAUCCCGUCCACCGAUUGACUAAGGUUUCCAGAGGAAGGCUCGUCCGCUCUGGGUUAGUCGGGUCCUAAGCUGAGGCCGACAGGCGUAGGCGAUGGAUAACAGGUUGAUAUUCCUGUACCACCUAUAAUCGUUUUAAUCGAUGGGGGGACGCAGUAGGAUAGGCGAAGCGUGCGAUUGGAUUGCACGUCUAAGCAGUAAGGCUGAGUAUUAGGCAAAUCCGGUACUCAUUAAGGCUGAGCUGUGAUGGGGAGAAGACAUUG
rnacentral:rRNA from 1 species